GGAGGAAUGUAGAAGUGAAGAUAAAGAGGCGAAUAGGAGCGAAAAGCAAUUGGGCAUAGAAAAUGAAGCUAUUCGAAUUGCCUCAGCAAUUGUGGCUGCAACAACCAUACGCCGGCAAGUCCCGCCAUUCUCAGCUUCCUCGUCCUACUCAUCUUCCAUAUUCAAUUCCCUCUCUCAGGCUCAAAAUUCGCACCUUCGCACUUUCCGACCCUGGUGCUUCCGAUUCCACAAUCCAGGCCACUCAAUCUGAUCUUUCGUUAACCUUGAAGAGGAAAGCAGCAGAAAUAUCUCCUGGCAUGAAAGGAACUUGUAUCUUCCUUGUUGGCUUAAACAGCUCCAUCAAAUCCAACUCGGGAAAACUUCUUGCAGAUGCACUGCGCUAUUAUUAUUUUGAUAGUGACAGUGUCGUUGAAGAAGCUUUGGGAGGAAAGGAUGCUGUCAGGUCAUUUGUGAAGACAGACUUGAAGGGCUUUCGAGACUCAGAAACGGAGGUACUGAAGCAGUUAUCGUCCAUGGGUCGCCUUGUUGUUGGUGCUGGGAAUGGUGCGGUUCAGCGUGCAGCUAAUCUGGCGCUUAUGAGACACGGCAUAUCAAUAUGGAUUGACGUCCCCUUGGAUAUGGUAGCCAAGGAAAUUGUGGAGGAGAGUUUUCAACCUCCUGCUGCUGAAACAAUAAAAGGAUCAUAUCCCGAGGUGUUGACUCAAUUAACUGCUAUGUAUGAAGAAAGCCGUAAGGGAUAUGCUACAGCUGAUACAACUAUUGCACUCCAGAAGGUUGCUUCUCAGUUAGGCUAUGAUACACUAGAUGCAGUAACCGCAGAGGAUAUGGUUUUGGAGACUCUGAAGGAGAUAGAGAGAUUGAUGAGAGUAAAGAAGUUGAUGGAAGAAGCUGCCAGGCCAUUUUAGUUUCGAUCACAACCAAUGUCGACUAUCUAGAAUCAACCUUUAUUGUUUGGAUCCUUAUGUGCUGUGCUGAAGUUGGAGAAAGUUGGCAACACUUGAAGCUCUUGCAGUUGAAUGACUUGUAGUAUUGUGAGAGUAAUUCUUAAGCGGCAUGUAUAUUGAAAGGCUCGUCCAAAUUCGACCUACAAGGUUGCCUCUCUUUCUCUUUGUGAUUAUAUAUGUUUUCUUUUGGGUGAGAGUAUAAGUGAUGUUUGGUUGUCGAAAUAAAAGAAGAUUGAAGGCCAUAUAUCCUAGUACGUUCCAUAUAAGGGAAAAGUGUCGGAUCGGACUAGCUAUGGAGGAUGACGCAGUUGCUGAAAAUUUCAUGCAGAGGCCACACAGCCAUGUGCUGACUGCUGAUGCCAAUCCUAUUGAAUUCUUUCUUACUUUCCUAUGUUCACUCUAAGUGAAUUUUAUUCAAUAUUUGAAAAUACUCUUUUUCUAUAUAUUGACAUGAGAAUAAGAAUUGUAUCUUAUAGUAAUACUUUGAAUAUUCAAAUUUUAAUUUAAAA